rnacentral:rRNA from 1 species
GGGUCAGUAGGUUGGUCGUGCCACCGUUACGUACUGAUCUCACUGAUUCCUCCUUCCUGAAGAACCGUAAUGCCAUUAAUUUGGUGUUGCGGGGAAACAGGACUGUUACUUUGAAAAAAUUAGAGUGUUUAAAGCAAGCUAACGCUUGAAUACAUUAGCAUGGAAUAAUGAAAUAGGACGAUCGAUCCUAUUUUGUUGGUUUCUAGGAUUGACGUA